rnacentral:lncRNA from 1 species
GAACAUUAAAAUUAAUGCAAGACACUUGCAUUACAGCAUCUCUCAGCCUGUGUUACGUUAGGAUGUUGAACCUCUUCAAUUUUUAUCACAAGAGUUACUACAAGAGCAACAAUGCAUACUUUGGCAUCCAUUUGUGACCACUGUUUCAGGAAUAUAGACCAUCUUGCCGUUUACAAGCACGGACCCUUGCAAGCUUCUGGUUUUCACCACAGAAUUGGAGCGAGCAAGACAGACAGUGGGGAGCUGCAGUUGCACGGAAAAGCAGCAUUACUGGAGAUUUUAAAGUGUUUAUCUGCAGGUAAUCAUAAACAUAGAAAUGAAAUUUACAAUAUAAUACACAGACAUUAUAGAUAUCUGCAUUUGAGGCCUGAUAAGCGUUUCAUUCGUUCGAAAAUGUAUAAAAGGCAUCUCCUACGUCGAGCUAACUUGAAAACACAGUCUUUUCUUUUUUUUAAUUUUCGGCAUAACAGACUGAUAGGACAUGGGACCGAAAGGUUUUUGAUGGCCGCAAGCUCGCUGCUGGCAAGGCAUGAAAAAUCGUCCCUAUCUUGUUACUUUGUUCAAAACGCUUCCUGCCAAUGUGUUCAUUAAAUGUGUAUCUGCAUUGUGACAUGACGGCACUAGUUGAAAUAUCUCAUUCAAAAUCUGGAUAGCAAACCUGAGAAUGAUCACAGAUCCCCGGAAUUAUUGGGAAAUCAUUUGUCCAGAGAAGCCAAACAACUCCAUCUUCUAAACAAGCCUUAGUUCUGUAAAGUAAAGGUCUUUCCUAUUAAAGGCACAUCCAUAUUAAUAAUGUUACAUUGCACAGAACUCGGUACAGGCAAAAAACGUGUGAGCAUCUAAAAUGCAUGAACUAUACACAUACGCUGAAGACUCGCAGCAAUAAAACAACUACAGCACUAGUAAAACACUAAUCAGGCAUUGCUUGAGCACAGUAUUAUUCAAGCACAUCCAAACAAUAUGGCCUAGGCCAAAAAUUUGUUCACUAAAUGAGUGGUCUGUAGUAAGGAUGCAGGCAGUGACUAACAUCUUGCAAAACUGUCGCCUAAAAACAAAGAAUGACAAGCAGCUAGCUGUGCCACAAAAGGCUCUCAGCUAAACAUUGCAGUGCACUGCUGUUGUAAGAGGGGAAAAAAAGAAGAAAAAAGACAUUGUGACAUAUAGAACACCUAGCGCAGGCGUACAUCAAAGUUUUGGCCUUUCACAAACCACGGAUCAUUUCUGUAGACAAAGUAUACCACUCAGAAUGAACUACAGUCGGUGUCUCAAUCGUUCAACAUAUGCAUGCACAUGCACGAAAUAUCCUUAUAAAAUCUGGCUAGAAGAGCAAAACCAAUGAAAAAAAAAAAAAAAAAAACAGCUUGACAGCUGCACACCAAGCAGAUGCUGUACACAACAUGUAUCAAACAGCAUGGCAACAUACACAUUACACUAUCUAGAAACUUUCAGCACACACACAAAAAAAAAGACUUUGUAUGCAGAUGCUUUCUCCCACUGUGCCAAGCUGCUGCUAAGGCAAGCAAAAAGGUCAACAUUUUUUUAAAAGACAACGCUAAACUAAAUGUUUCACAACUCGCGCUCAGUUACACAGACACACGGCUACGAACUAGUCACGCCAUUCUAUGCACAGGAACAGCUGGCAUGACCUGAGGUGGUACUUUAUCACACGAGUUUGCAGUUGCAAGUGGGCCUUACACGCCACACCGCUGGCAAAAUUGGACUAGCUUCUGAGGUGCACCCAUCCCUGGUACACUGCACACAACCUUUCAGCCAAGAGGUUACCUAAAGCAGCAGGUUGCAACCAAUUCAGUGCAUGACCGGUCAUUGUGGGAUGACAUCCUGCUAGGCUACUGUAAAACUCAAGCCCACAGGCGAGCCAGCUUCUAUUUUUAAAUGGUUCAAUGCGAUCAAGCAUGCAAACACGGCCUAAAGGCGGGUUUCAUAUUGAUUCUGUGCUCUGUUGUAAGGCAAUGAAAGGAAUGAAAACAGUGUUCAGAGAAGUCAUGGUACAGCUAAACCUUGAUAUAGUGAACACAAACAUAUUACUUCAAUUUUCAAUUGAGCUUUGUUCAACAUCCAUCGGAUGUUUGGAGCACGGACAAAAAGCCGUUGACUGGGUCCGCGUAUAUACCAAAUUAUCAGAUAUCAUGAAGGAAACCUCAAAUGUUUCUAGCCGAUGCUAGCGUGUAAUGAACAUAUGCUUAUAAUGAAUAUCAGAUAUAACGAAGGCAUUUUCACGUCGGAUGUGACUUUGUUAUGGUGAUGUUCGACUGUGUAGGUAGUUAUGCUCUGCACAUAAAUUUGCCAAGUAUAAUGUGGCUAAUUUAAAUGUAAAGAAGAGCGUUUUAUCUGUGACCACAUUUUCACACGUCAGUAUUACACAAUACAUGUGAACACAUCAAAUGUAUAAUGACAGAGGUGAGGCAGCCAAACUAGUGUGAUCCCCAAGAGCUGUGAGAGUGUACAGUUCAAAAAGAAAAAG